GUCAGCUACAAGGGCUCACGGUGAUACCUUGGCACCAGAGCAAUGAGACGUGUUACUGCGAUAGUCUCGGAGCUGGAGCACGCUUGAUUCUGAAUC
rnacentral:rRNA from 1 species